rnacentral:rRNA from 1 species
CCUACGGGGGGCAGCAGUGAGGAAUAUUGGUCAAUGGACGCAAGUCUGAACCAGCCAUGCCGCGUGCAGGAAGACGGCCCUAUGAGUUGUAAACUGCUUUUGUACGAGGGUAAAUCCCGAUACGUGUAUCGGGUUGAAAGUAUCGUACGAAUAAGGAUCGGCUAACUCCGUGCCAGCAGCCGCGGUAAUACGGAGGAUUCAAGCGUUAUCCGGAUUUAUUGGGUUUAAAGGGUGCGUAGGCGGUUCGAUAAGUUAGGGGUGAAAUCCCGGGGCUCAACUCCGGCACUGCCUCUGAUACUGGCGGGCUAGAGUUUGGGAGCAGUAGGCGGAAUGUGUGGUGUAGCGGUGAAAUGCAUAGAUAUCAUACAGAACACCGAUUGCGAAGGCAGCUUACCGGACUACGACUGACGUUGAGGCACGAAAGCGUGGGGAGCGAACAGGAUUAGAUACCCUUGUAGUC